CAGGAUGAACGCUGGCGGCGUGCCUAAUACAUGCAAGUCGAACGCUUUGUGGUUCAACUGAUUUGAAGAGCUUGCUCAGAUAUGACGAUGGACAUUGCAAAGAGUGGCGAACGGGUGAGUAACACGUGGGAAACCUACCUCUUAGCAGGGGAUAACAUUUGGAAACAGAUGCUAAUACCGUAUAACAAUAGCAACCGCAUGGUUGCUACUUAAAAGAUGGUUCUGCUAUCACUAAGAGAUGGUCCCGCGGUGCAUUAGUUAGUUGGUGAGGUAAUGGCUCACCAAGACGAUGAUGCAUAGCCGAGUUGAGAGACUGAUCGGCCACAAUGGGACUGAGACACGGCCCAUACUCCUACGGGAGGCAGCAGUAGGGAAUCUUCCACAAUGGGCGAAAGCCUGAUGGAGCAACGCCGCGUGUGUGAUGAAGGGUUUCGGCUCGUAAAACACUGUUGUAAGAGAAGAAUGACAUUGAGAGUAACUGUUCAAUGUGUGACGGUAUCUUACCAGAAAGGAACGGCUAAAUACGUGCCAGCAGCCGCGGUAAUACGUAUGUUCCAAGCGUUAUCCGGAUUUAUUGGGCGUAAAGCGAGCGCAGACGGUUAUUUAAGUCUGAAGUGAAAGCCCUCAGCUCAACUGAGGAAUUGCUUUGGAAACUGGAUGACUUGAGUGCAGUAGAGGAAAGUGGAACUCCAUGUGUAGCGGUGAAAUGCGUAGAUAUAUGGAAGAACACCAGUGGCGAAGGCGGCUUUCUGGACUGUAACUGACGUUGAGGCUCGAAAGUGUGGGUAGCAAACAGGAUUAGAUACCCUGGUAGUCCACACCGUAAACGAUGAGUGCUAGGUGUUUGAGGGUUUCCGCCCUUAAGUGCCGCAGC
rnacentral:rRNA from 1 species